rnacentral:rRNA from 1 species
UACGUAGGGUGCGAGCGUUGUCCGGAAUUAUUGGGCGUAAAGAGCUUGUAGGCGGUUUGUCGCGUCUGCCGUGAAAAUCCGGGGCUCAACCCCGGACUUGCGGUGGGUACGGGCAGACUAGAGUGUGGUAGGGGAGACUGGAAUUCCUGGUGUAGCGGUGAAACGCGCAGAUAUCAGGAGGAACACCGGUGGCGAAGGCGGGUCUCUGGGCCGUAACUGACGCUGAGGAGCGAAAGCGUGGGGAGCGAACAGG